GCGGGUAUCGUAUAAUGGUAAUACCUUUGCUUUCCAAGCAAAAGCCGGGAGUUCGAUUCUCCCUACCCGCUCAA
rnacentral:tRNA from 1 species